rnacentral:lncRNA from 12 species
GGGAAAUCCACUGGAGUUUGCAAAGAGAGGGGAGAGAGAUCUUAGCAGACAAUGUUAGGGAAUGCUCAAAUUAGGGGCAUUUGAAGAGUUGUUUUCUUCCAUUUUUCUGAAGCUUCCAUAUUUUCUAUAAUAGUCAUGGCAUUCUCUUUAUAAAUGGUGGGAUGUUUACCUUUAAGUCUGAUAUUAUUUUCACCAUAUAUAUUACUUAGAGAGGUAUAAAGUGUGAUCUAAAUCACAGAUCUAGCUAAUUCAAAUUAUUAUUCUUUUUGUUUCAGGCCUAAUGAAUCAGGACUUCAGUGGAUGGUGCCCAGGAAUCUGAAUUGUCAACAAACUUGCCAGGGCAUUCUUAAGCACACCGAAGUUUAAGAGCCAAUGACCCAGAGUACAGCUGCAUGGACCCUAGACACAGCCAUUUUCCUCGUGUCCACCAACCUGGCCCAGCUCUCACAGAAAUUCCUACCCAGAAAGAAGCAAAAAGAGAGAUUAAGGGGAAGACUCAAGAAUAAAUCAAAUUUCUUUGGUGAUCAGCAUACCAGACUUCAAUGAAUGCAGAAUUAUUAGAAAAGAAGUAGAUACAGGUAAAAGGAACAUAAUUUUCUGAUCUCUGCACUAUGAAUUUUAAAGCAAAGUCAGACUACUAACAGAAGAUAUGAGAAAAUUCUGGAAUGUAUGACUAAGGGGUAGACUGAGGAGAUAAAUUCAUGUGAGCCAUGUGACAAAGGAAAAUUUAAAUUGAGAUUAUUUGAGCUUUGAGUUAAUAGUCCCAGUAUAUCCUAAGAUGUGAUUUUAUUCACAGUCAUUCUCAAUUUAUGAACCUAAACAAGAAACACCCAGACUUCAUCUAGAUAUUCUGAAACAUCAACCUAAAAAUCCAUUUGCCAACUCCUUCUGGGGCUCACUUGUUCAUAGAUUCAAGAAUGACUUUGAUUGGAGAUCAAAGUUUCCAGGUUAUUCUUGUUUUCUAAUAAAAGUCAUAGUCCGUGAUAGAAUCUUGGUACA